GCUAGAGUGGCGCAAUUGGUAGCGCACCCGACUUGUAAUCGGAAGGUUGCGGGUUCAAGUCCCGUCUCUAGCUCCA
rnacentral:tRNA from 2 species